UGAUUCCUACGGGAGGCAGCAGUGAGGAAUAUUGGUCAAUGGACGGAAGUCUGAACCAGCCAUGCCGCGUGCAGGAAGACGGCCCUAUGAGUUUUAAACUGCUUUUGUACAAGGGUAAACCUGAAUACGUGUAUUCAGCUGAAAGUACUGUACGAAUAAGGAUCGGCUAACUCCGUGCCAGCAGCCGCGGUAAUACGGAGGAUCCAAGCGUUAUCCGGAUUUAUUGGGUUUAAAGGGUGCGUAGGCGGAUUGAUAAGUUAGAGGUGAAAUGUCCGAGCUUAACUCGGGACCUGCCUUUAAU
rnacentral:rRNA from 1 species